CCUACGGGAGGCAGCAGUGGGGAAUAUUGGACAAUGGGGGCAACCCUGAUCCAGCCAUGCCGCGUGUGUGAAGAAGGCCCUCGGGUUGUAAAGCACUUUCAGUGAGGAAGAACGCCUGGUGGUUAAUACCCAUCAGGAAAGACAUCACUCACAGAAGAAGCACCGGCUAACUCCGUGCCAGCAGCCGCGGUAAUACGGAGGGUGCGAGCGUUAAUCGGAUUUACUGGGCGUAAAGCGCGCGUAGGUGGCUUGAUAAGCCGGUUGUGAAAGCCCCGGGCUCAACCUGGGAACGGCAUCCGGAACUGUCAAGCUAGAGUGCAGGAGAGGAAGGUAGAAUUCCCGGUGUAGCGGUGAAAUGCGUAGAGAUCGGGAGGAAUACCAGUGGCGAAGGCGGCCUUCUGGACUGACACUGACACUGAGGUGCGAAAGCGUGGGUAGCAAACAGGAUUAGAUACCCCAGUAGUC
rnacentral:rRNA from 1 species